rnacentral:tRNA from 1 species
GAUGCGCUUGGCGAAGGUCUUGGAUCCCUCGAGCGCGGCGGCCGCCCGGCCCGGCCCGAACACCGGGACGCCGCGCGUGCGCAGCGCGUCCGCGACCCC